GUACCUACAUUCCAAACAUGCGCAUCAAGCGCCCAAACUCCGAAACCACACACGAUCACCAAAAAAAACCCAGAGAGAGAGAGAGAGUUCUUGGCUAUGGUGGAUACCAAAGCAGAGGAAGACGACGAUGAGGGCUUCGGCGACUUCACGUUCGCGUCCUUCGCCAAUCACGCUCUCCAUUCCGAUCAGAUCAACGGCCGAAAAUCCACCGCCGACUACAACGACGACGAAUGGGGCGAUUUUGUGGAAUCCCCACUUCGAUCCGAGCUCUCUAGUGGUCUCUCCACCACCCAAUCGCUUCCCAACCCUUCAAAACCUUUCGACCCAUUUGGGUUCUUCCCAGAUCACUCGAACACACCCUCACAAUCGGCGGCGAGUCCAAUUGAAUCGGUACCGAGUCAUUCUGGUUCGGAGAAGACUCAGUGGAUGAAGCCCAAAGGAGCUUUGCCUCUAUCGAUAUUUGGCGAUGAGGAGCAGGAGGAGGAGGAGAAGGAGGAGCAAUCUGGUGUGGUCUACCCUUCGGUUGGUGAUGUUAGAAAUGGAUCGAAUAUGUUUAUAGGCCUUGCGUUUAACGAUGUUAUUGCUAAUUUAUACAAUCCGAGUCAGCAGAUCAAGGCUGAGAAUGGGUUGAAUUCCAAUUCAAAUGGGACAAAUUCGAAUUCGAAUGGUUUGAAAUCUAAUUCAAGUGGGUUGAAUUCAGAUUUAUUUGCUGGAAACAAUGAUAAUCAGAGUUCGCAGAUUAAUACUGUAAGUGAUUUGAGUUCGAAUUCUAAUUUAUUUGCUGAAAACAAUGAUAGUCAGAGUCCGCAGAUUAAGGCUGUAAGUGGGUUGAAUUCGAAUUUGGAUUUGUUUGCUGGAAAUAGUGAUGAUCAGGGUCAGCAGAUCAAUGUAGUAAGUGGAUUGAACUCUAAUUCAAGUGGGUUGAAUUUGAAUAUGGAUAUAUUUUCUGGGAAUACUGGUUCUGAAACAUUUGCAAAUAUUUAUAGUCAGAGUCCGCAGAAUAGGACUCAAGAUUCAAAUGGAUUGAAUUCGAGUUCAAAUGUAUCUAGUUCAAAUUUUAAUUUUAGUGGUAUGGAUUCAAAUUUUGGUGUGUUGAUUUCAAACUCGGAUCCUCCUGGUGGAAGUGAAGAAUUUGAUGGUGAUGAUGAUGGAUGGGAAUUUAAGGAUGCAUAUUCAGAAUUGAAGGUUGGAGAUGGGAAUGUUGAGGUUGACGGAAUGGAGGAAAGAAAUUCUGAGGCAACUGGGGUUUCAUCUGACUUUGGCAAUGGUUCACGUGGAUUUGGUGAUUUAUUUUCAGCAUCAAAUGAGCUUUCUGGUAAAUCCAGAGAAGUGGACAUCAGUUUUGAUUUCAAGCCACUGACAGUUGCUCAAAAUGAUUUUAGCUUCGAUCCAUUCUCUAAAAGUGAGCAGAACGGUAUUGAAAAUGGGUUGAAUUAUCACUCAGAUGUUGGAAUUGUUGAUUCUGAUGAAGGUUUUGGGGAUUUCGAAUGUGCAUUUACCGGAACUGGAUUGAAGCAGCAGGACAAGCCAAAGGUUGAUGAUAUUUCUCACUCUGAGUCUGAGGUUGAAGUACACGCUUCUGAUGGCAAAGCUCAGGUUGACAGGAAGGUGCAAGGAAAUUCUGAGGUAAAUGGGUUUUCAUCUGAGUUUGGCAAUGGUUCACAUGGAUCUAUUGAUUUAUUUUCAGCAUCAAAUGGGUUUUCUGGUAAACCCAGAGAAGUGGACAUCAGUUUUGAUUUCAAGCCGCUGACAGUAGCGCAAAAUGGUUUUAGUUCGGAUUCAUUCUUUAAUAGUGAGGAGAAAGGUACUGAUCAAGUUGUUGAGACUAUUGAUUCUGAUGAAAGUUUUGGGGAUUUCGAAGCUGCAUUUACCGGAACUGGACAGGAUGAACCAAAGGUUAAUGAUCUUUCUCAUUUUGAGGCUGAAGUACUCACUUCUGAUGGCAAAGCUCAGGGAAAUGAGACAAUGUCCAAGAAUCCUAAAGGGGCCCUGCCCUUGUCCAUAUUUGGUGAUGAAGAACUGGAAACUGAUAAUUCUUUGAACAUUGAAGAUGCUUUUACAUAUGCGCCCUCCUCCCACCCGAGAAAUGGCAUUAGUAGUCAGGGCUCAAAUAUUUCUAUCCAUGAUCUCCUAUCAAAUUUAUACAGUCAAGCUGAGCAGAUCCCUUCCGUUGACAAAACAGAAAAACUUACUGGAUAUGGGUUGGACUCCUCUGAUAAAGUGCUUGAUCCUAGUCUAGUGAAAUGUGGUGAUGAUUUUGAUGAUGCUUCAUGGGAAUUUAGAGAUGCCUCCUCACAAACCAGAGAUCAGACCUCUCUUCACAGUCCUGGAGAAGCACACCAAAAAUUUUCAACCAAAUUCAAGCUGAAUAAUUAUGUGGACUUCUAUUGUAAAUUAAAGGAUGAGCUGUCCUUUGUUUGUAAAUGCCAUCUUGGGAGUCUAAAGAAAGCUCAAAAUACUGCUUCUCUUUCUGGUGAAGAUGCAAAAGCGGCAGCUAUUGGGGAGGAAAUCCAGGAGGCCUGGAAAGAACUUCACAAACAGAAUGUAAACUCCGAAGAAUAUUCAGAAUAUCAACCGCCAAGAGAUGUUUGCCUAAACGAAUUUCUUGAAGUUCUUCAUGAACUGAAGUUCCAAGUACUGGAAUCAGAGUAUCACUUAUCAAGAAGAUUGCAUUUAGCAGAGAAGGAUUUCAGAUCAGCAAUUGAACUCAUGGAACAUACCACAUCAAUGCUAAGUGUUCUGACAUUAGGGUCAAUGGAGGAUCAAUAUAUUUAUGUCUCCAUAUGGUUCAAGAUGAUCUCUGUAUGUGCUCAAGAGUUGAAGCACGGCUCCUCGAUUUGGAAACAGUUAGUAGAAAAGAAUUUUAAAAGUUGGAUGCUCUCUGAACCUCGAGGCAAGCAGUUUAUUCUUGCCCUGGGAGAGAUUUACAGGGUAGUUGUAGUUCUUGGAACCUCAAUCAAACUUUACAAGCCAUGGAUACUAUCAAGUUCUGUGGAUUGUACAAGCUUAUAUGCUCUUUUUGAAGAGUGUUGUACUCUAUGGUCAAGUUCAGGAAUUGAGGAAGCUCUCCAGGGUAUAGCUGAUCCAAUUGAUUUCGAAUAUCAUAGUACAGUCGAGGCAUUGAGGGAGUCAAUCAUGUAUAUUCACAAUCUUGAUGCACUUGCAAUUGGGAACCAUGUUUUCAAUCAGCCAGUUUCUGUAUGUCGGCUGUCACUUCUAACUUCAGAAGCAGUUCCAGAGAUGAAAAUGGUGUUGUGGAGUGGGGAGAACUACUUUCUCACGCUUGCAAAUUUGUGGGCAAAUCUCAUAAGCAGUGAUCCCCCAGAGUUGCCACAUUUGCAUGUUGGCUCAUGAGAAAAUCUUGGGAAUUCAAAAAUGGUCGGAAUGUUUUGUGGAAAUUCAUUUUGAAGUGUCUCACUAUUGAAUCCCAUGUUUUGGUAUAUGGGUUGAUGAGACCUUUGGAGCACCAAUCUCUGCUGCCCAACUCAAAUGAUAAAGAGAGCAUCACAAUUUGUUGUGUUAAAAUCCACAAGCUCAUUGCAGUGAGCUUGGUUUGAUCAAUUGAAAAGCUUGGUGGAAUCGAAUAGACAACGAUGCAUACCCAGAAAUGCAAACUGCAAAAUGACGGUAAAUAUAUCUAUUCUCCUUUUCUUUCUCAUCCUAACAUUUUUAGGGCAAAGAAAGAUAAGAUUGUUGGGUUGCAAAUAGACAUUGUGCUUUAUACCUUGCACUUAUGAGACUGUAGUGUUAUUUCAUAAAGCUUAUACGGGUAAGUGUAUAUUUUUGUGUGUGUUACCACACUAAUUUGCUGUUAUGGGUUUGUCGUUAUUGAUUUGCUGCUGCAUUUACUGCAAUGAAAAGUUGCGGAGAGCCUUUGGCCAAAGAAAAUGUGUAUAUCAGGGUUUACUUGGGUAUGUGACAUUGUCUAGAUAGCAUGAGAAAGCUUUGUAGAUUACAGUGGUGAUUCAGCUAUGUUAUCAUUUCUUUGAU